GGGUAUAUAGCUCAGUAGUGGAGCACAUGCUUAGCAUGCAUGAGGGCCUCGAUUCACUCCCCAGUACCUCCA
rnacentral:tRNA from 1 species